CAAAUGACCGGCCGAAAGGCCACGCCGAAGCGCGGUAUCCCCCCGCCGCGCUCAACGGUUUACCCUUUGUGAAAACCCCUCGUUGCUUCGGCAGCACCUCCCGGCCAUCGGUCGGGAGGGUUAGCCUGCCGACGGCACUUUUCUAAACACAUGUUGUAGAACCAGUACCUUGUCUGACAAAUCAGUCGAAUUGACUUUA
rnacentral:misc_RNA from 1 species